CCUACGGGCGAGCAGCAGUGAGGAAUAUUGGUCAAUGGCCGGGAGGCUGAACCAGCCAAGUCGCGUGAGGGAAGACGGCCCUACGGGUUGUAAACCUCUUUUGUCAGGGAGCAAGGUGCAGGUCGGGACCUGCUGUGAGAGUACCUGAAGAAAAAGCAUCGGCUAACUCCGUGCCAGCAGCCGCGGUAAUACGUAGGAUGCGAGCGUUAUCCGGAUUUAUUGGGUUUAAAGGGUGCGCAGGCGGAGGCACAAGUCAGCGGUAAAAUCGCGGGGCUCAACCCCGCUCCGCCGUUGAAACUGUGUGCCUUGAGUGCGCGAAGGGUAGGCGGAAUGCGUGGUGUAGCGGUGAAGUGCAUAGAUAUCACGCAGAACUCCGAUCGCGAAGGCAGCCUACCGGCGCGCAACUGACGCUCAUGCACGAAAGCGUGGGUAUCGAACAGGAUUAGAUACCCUAGUAGUC
rnacentral:rRNA from 1 species